rnacentral:rRNA from 1 species
AAUCAACGCUGGCGGCGUGCCUAACACAUGCAAGUCGCACGAGAAAGGGGAGCAAUCCCCGAGUAAAGUGGCGCACGGGUGAGUAACACGUGAAUUAUCUACCUCCGAGUGGGGAAUAACUGAGAGAAAUCUUAGCUAAUACCGCAUAACACUUACGAGUCAAAGCAGCAAUGCGCUUGGAGAGGAGUUCGCGGCCGAUUAGUUAGUUGGCGGGGUAAUGGCCCACCAAGACGAUGAUCGGUAUCCGGCCUGAGAGGGCGCACGGACACACUGGAACUGAAACACGGUCCAGACUCCUACGGGAGGCAGCAGUGGGGAAUUUUGCGCAAUGGGGGAAACCCUGACGGCAGCAACGCCGCGUGGAGGAUGAAGUAUCUUGGUACGU